GCGGCCGCCGCAUCCUCAGCCACCGUCGCAGCUGCCUCCGCCACCACCGCCGCCUCCUCUUCCUUGGCCACCCCAGAACUGGGCAGCAGCCUCAAGAAGAAGAAGCGGCUCUCCCAGUCAGAUGAGGAUGUCAUUAGGCUAAUAGGACAGCACUUGAAUGGCUUAGGGCUCAACCAGACUGUUGAUCUCCUCAUGCAAGAGUCAGGAUGUCGUUUAGAACAUCCUUCUGCUACCAAAUUCCGAAAUCAUGUCAUGGAAGGAGACUGGGAUAAGGCAGAAAAUGACCUGAAUGAACUAAAGCCUUUAGUGCAUUCUCCUCAUGCUAUUGUGGUAAGAGGCGCACUUGAAAUCUCUCAAACGUUGUUGGGAAUAAUUGUGGCACAAACAUUUUCUGAAACUUCCAUCAACUUUUUUCCCCUGACUGCUGCUUUCUGUCAUGUCAGAGGAUGAAGUUUUUGCUGCUGCAGCAGAAGUACCUAGAAUACCUGGAGGAUGGCAAGGUCCUGGAGGCACUUCAAGUUCUACGCUGUGAAUUGACGCCGCUGAAAUACAAUACAGAGCGCAUUCAUGUUCUUAGUGGGUAUCUGAUGUGUAGCCAUGCAGAAGACCUACGUGCAAAAGCAGAAUGGGAAGGCAAAGGGACAGCUUCCCGAUCUAAACUAUUGGAUAAACUUCAGAGUAAGAGUCUUAAUUUUUUAUGUUGCUGUGUUUUCUCUUAGAUUACAAAUGGAUACAGUGAUCAAUUAGGAAG
rnacentral:sRNA from 1 species